AGUGACUUAGUGCACACACACACACACACACAUAUAAAAUAAGCUUAACUUUAAAAUAAUAUGAGUUAUUUUGGAUUACCUGUAAUUCUGAAAAGUUAAUAAUUGUCAAAUAAUUGUAUCAAAUCAUUCCUAGGAAAAGCACAAUGAACAAUUGGACUUUACAUUUGGAAGCUUGACAGCUACUAUAUUUGAUUUGUUUGGAGCUGUUACAGAGACAACAAGCACUACCCUGGGAUAUAUGGGCUCCUCCUCCUGGUGAAGCACCCAGAGGUCAUAGCUAAGGUCCAGGAAGAGACUGACCACGUGCUUGGCAGACAUCAGAGCCCCUGCAUGGAGGACAGGAGCCUCAUGCCCUACAUGGAUGUUGUGGUCCAUGGGAUCCAGAGAUACGUUGAUCUGGUCCCCAGCAGUCUGCCCCAUGUCAUGACCCGUGACAUUAAAUUCAGAAAUUACCUCAUCCCCAAGGUAAGAUUGCUUGAGUGCUAGGUUGCUUCAGUUGUUUCUGACUCUGUGUGACUCCAUGGACUGUAGCUUGCCAGGCUCUUCUCUCCAUGUGAUUCUCCAGGCAAGAAUGCUGGAAUGGGUUGCCAUUCCCUUCUCCAGGGAAUCUUCCUGACCCAGGAUUGAACCCGUGUCUCCGAUGUCUCCUGCAUUUGCAGCCGAGUUCUUUACAUUAGCGCCACCUGGUAAGAUUGUUUCCUCUUAUACUGACCUUGGCAGUCUUGAAGUUCCCAUUUACACAGUAUGAGUGCAGUCCUCUAUGAACACAAAAAUCCUGUGUGUGGUGGCUUGAUGAAAGGUGUACUGUUUCUAGUUUAUCUGUAAAGCUUUAUAACAGGCUUUGGUAGCUGACAGUGCAAGUGUUCCAGUUUGUUCUGUCUCUUCUAUUGUUUGUCUGAUCUUAAAGGUUUAUUUUUCCAAAUGUUAUCAAUUUUUAUUUGAUAUUUGUUAGUAUGAGUGUCAGUCAAUUUACCAAAACAGUCUGCUGGGAUUUUUAUCUGGGUGACAUUAGAUCAAUUUGAAAAGACUUAACAUCAUGACACAUUGAGUCUUUCAAUUAAUGGGCAUGGUGUAUAGUCCUUGGUUUGGGGAGCUUUCUUUAAUUUUCCCAAUAAUGUCUUUUUCAGUAAAUUGGCUUGCAAAACUUUUAUGCAAGAUGCUUAAUACUGUUAUAAGUUUUAA
ensembl:lncRNA